CCGCCGCGAUCCCUGCGCACCACGGCCCUGCCCGCCACGGGGCGAGCCCGAUAAGAGGGCUGUGGACGUUCGGGUCUAGUUGGGAGAGACAGGGGUCCCUGACUCUUGAGCGGUCAGUCAUUUCCUCCCCAGUCCUUGUGGGUGACGUGGCUACGGUUUGGAGCAGCAAGCCCCCUCCCCGAACUAAAGGGCCUCUCCAAAGGUUAAGCCAGGGCAGUCAUUGAGGUCAAAACCAAUAUGUAGUUUCUUGACUGCAGGUGCCUGCACGACUCCCAGAAAGUCGCGUCUCCCCUAACCCCCAUGCCCAGGACCUGAGGACAAAGGUCUAGCGAUUGUCCAUCCCCUCCCCCAGUGAGGACAGCCGGGAAAGACCUGCCUUUGUUGUGUACAGGUGGUAUCUCACUGUGUUAUCCAGACUGGACUCAAAUUUCUGGGCUCCAAUGGUCCUCUCACCUCAGCCUCCCAAGUAGUCAGGACUACAGAACUCCAUGGCAAUGUUUUGAGGAUUAAAGAGGAGAGUGAUGACUAUCCAAACGUCAGAGAACGCAACUAUGAGACUAGAGACACUGGAAAACUAAAAAAGUAACGGGCCUUUGCUGACUCAGGGAGAUGAUUUCCCAAGAGGGAAGAAAACUGGAACCUGAGAAAUAAGUGAUUUAGUAAUGUGGCUGCUAAAAUACGGAAAAACUAGAAUGAAUGGCUUACACAUUUUUGAAAUGAAGUUAGAAGAGGGUUAUACUGUGAAGAAGAAUGAAAAAGCCAAACAUUUCAUUCAGGUAAGCAUAUCACAUAGGAGAAACUCUAGGUGACUUUGGUUUGGCAGUGAGUUUUUAGAUACAACACCAAAGCACAAUCCAUAAAAGAAAAGAAAGAUAGAUAAGUUGGACUUCAUUAAAAUGAA
rnacentral:lncRNA from 1 species